AUUGAACGCUGGCGGCAGGCCUAACACAUGCAAGUCGAGCGGCGCGCCGGACGGGUGAGUAAUGCCUAGGACUCUGCCUGGUCGUGGGGGAUAACGUUCGGAAACGGGCGCUAAUACCGCAUACUAUCAGAUGCGCCUAGGUCGGGUUAGCUAGUUGGUGGGGUAAAGGCCUACCAAGGCGACGACCCGUAACUGGUCUUAGAGGAUGAUCAGUCACACUGGAACUGAGACACCGCCCAGACUCCGACGGGAGGCAGCAGUGGGGAAUCAUCCGCAAUGGACGAAAGUCUGACGGAGCAACGCCGCGGGAGUGAUGACGGCCUUCGGGUUGUAAAGCUCUGUUAAUCGGGACGCGGUACCGGAAUAGAAAGCCACGGCUAACUACGUGCCAGCAGCCGCGGUAAUUC
rnacentral:rRNA from 1 species